UGAUGUCUAAUCUUUGAUAGCUACCAUACAAUGAGUUCAUUCUCUAUAUAAUCUCAUCCCUCCAACUCUGUUUAGCAUCAAACUCUCUCUCUUUUUUUAUAUCACACCUCUCUCCACUCUUGCAACUGAUCUAUAGCCAUCUUUCUUUGAUAUUAUAUAUUUGCAGGAAGUAACCCAGAUAAGAAAAUAUAUAACUAUGUUCCCAACUGCAAUGAUGUUGUUUAUAUCACAGUAUUUCUUGGUGCAUGGUGAUGGUGAUUAUGGGUAUAUUAACUACUCUUAUAACCCGUCACUAAAAGAUGAUGAUGAGGAUCCGGCUGCAUCCCGGGGAGAUGGAGACGACGAUGAUGAUGACGAUGAUGGAGGUUAUGAUUAUGCUCCUGCUGCUUAAGAGAUGCAUCGGAACCAAACCCUAGCCCUAGAUCCUUUAGUAUAGAUAUAGUCUUCUUCUUGUCCUUUUCACCCUAGAAAGGCAUCUAUAUAGAGUAUUACAUAUAUGAGAUCUCUUACCAAUCAGCUGAUAAUUACGUACACCCUAGAUCUAGUUUUAUAAAGUAUGUAUAAUCUCAUGCAUCGGUGAUGGGUACUGUAAUGUUAUCUAUAUUUAUAUAAUUAUAGAACUUUAAUAUAUAUAUAUGUAUACACAUAAUUCCAGCUACAAGAGCUUGUAAGGCGAGUCGAUUAUCAAUAUGAGCAAGGAAAAUAAAUUAAACGUCGACGUUUAAUCAUCCAUAACAGAUGGUAUGAGUUUUGGUGUUCUUGUUGUCUUCUACCUUGAGGGUUUUACUGUUGAUUACUUUCUGUCAAUACAUUCAAAGUUUGCUGAAUGAGCGACGUCGUAUUGUUGUUUUUGUUUCAGUUCUUGUAAAUUAGUUUGGUUUUGUUUGUACGGUAGGAUCUAAUCAAGCUUUGU
rnacentral:lncRNA from 1 species